CCUACGGGAGGCAGCAGUGGGGAAUUUUGGACAAUGGGGGAAACCCUGAUCCAGCCAUUCCGCGUGAGUGAAGAAGGCCUUCGGGUUGUAAAGCUCUUUCGGCAGGAACGAAACGGCGGACUCUAACAUAGUCUGUCAAUGACGGUACCUGAAGAAGAAGCACCGGCUAACUACGUGCCAGCAGCCGCGGUAAUACGUAGGGUGCGAGCGUUAAUCGGAAUUACUGGGCGUAAAGCGUGCGCAGGCGGCUUUGUAAGACGGAUGUAAAAUCCCUGGGCUUAACCUAGGAACUGCGUUCGUGACUGCAAAGCUAGAGUGCGGCAGAGGGGGGUGGAAUUCCUGGUGUAGCAGUGAAAUGCGUAGAGAUCAGGAGGAACACCAGUGGCGAAGGCGGCUCUCUGGACCGAUACUGACACUGAGACGCGAAAGCGGGGGGAGCAAACAGGAUUAGAUCCCUUAGUAGU
rnacentral:rRNA from 1 species